UACAGAGGUCCCAAGCGUUGUUCGGAAUUACUGGGCGUAAAGCGCGUGUAGGCUGCUAUGCAAGUCGGGUGUGAAAGCCCCGGGCUCAACCUGGGAAGUGCACUCGAAACUGCAGAGCUCGAGUCUUGGAGAGGAAGGCGGAAUUCUCGGUGUAGAGGUGAAAUUCGUAGAUAUCGAGAGGAACACCGGUGGCGAAGGCGGCCUUCUGGACAAUGACUGACGCUGAGACGCGAAAGCGUGGGGAGCAAACAGG
rnacentral:rRNA from 1 species